rnacentral:rRNA from 1 species
GAUGAACGCUGGCGGCGUGCCUAAUACAUGCAAGUCGAGCGAACAGACGAGGAGCUUGCUCCUCUGACGUUAGCGGCGGACGGGUGAGUAACACGUGGAUAACCUACCUAUAAGACUGGGAUAACUUCGGGAAACCGGAGCUAAUACCGGAUAAUAUAUUGAACCGCAUGGUUCAAUAGUGGAAGACGGUUUUGCUGUCACUUAUAGAUGGAUCCGCGCCGCAUUAGCCAGUUGGUAAGGUAACGGCUUACCAAGGCAACGAUGCGUAGCCGACCUGAGAGGGUGAUCGGCCACACUGGAACUGAGACACGGUCCAGACUCCUACGGGAGGCAGCAGUAGGGAAUCUUCCGCAAUGGGCGAAAGCCUGACGGAGCAACGCCGCGUGAGUGAUGAAGGUCUUCGGAUCGUAAAACUCUGUUAUUAGGGAAGAACAAAUGUGUAAGUAACUAUGCACGUCUUGACGGUACCUAAUCAGAAAGCCACGGCUAACUACGUG